rnacentral:rRNA from 1 species
UACGGAGGGUGCGAGCGUUGUCCGGAAUCACUGGGCGUAAAGGGCGCGUAGGCGGCCUGAUAAGUAGGGGUGAAAUCCUGCGGCUUAACCGCAGGGCUGCCUUCUAAACUGUCAGGCUUGAGCACAGUAGAGGCAGGUGGAAUUCCCGGUGUAGCGGUGGAAUGCGUAGAGAUCGGGAGGAACAUCAGUGGCGAAGGCGGCCUGCUGGGCUGUUGCUGACGCUGAGGCGCGACAGCGUGGGGAGCAAACAGGG